rnacentral:rRNA from 1 species
GACGAACGCAGGCGGCGUGCCUAAUACAUGCAAGUAGAACGCACAGGAUGCACCGUAGUUUACUACACCGUAUUCUGUGAGUUGCGAACGGGUGAGUAACGCGUAGGUAACCUGCCUGGUAGCGGGGGAUAACUAUUGGAAACGAUAGCUAAUACCGUAUAAGAACAUUUACUGCAUGGUAGAUGUUUAAAAGGUGCAAGAGCAUCACUACCAGAUGGACCUGCGUUGUAUUAGCUAGUUGGUGAGGUAACGGCUCACCAAGGCAACGAUACAUAGCCGACCUGAGAGGGUGAUCGGCCACACUGGGACUGAGACACGGCCCAGACUCCUACGGGAGGCAGCAGUAGGGAAUCUUCGGCAAUGGGGGGGAACCCUGACCGAGCAACGCCGCGUGAGUGAAGAAGGUUUUCGGAUCGUAAAGCUCUGUUGUUAAGGAAGAACGUGUGUGAGAGUGGAAAGUUCACACAGUGACGGUACUUAACCAGAAAGGGACGGCUAACUACGUGCCAGCAGCCGCGGUAAUACGUAGGUCCCGAGCGUUGUCCGGAUUUAUUGGGCGUAAAGCGAGCGCAGGCGGUUAGAUAAGUCUGAAGUGAAAGGCAGUGGCUCAACCAUUGUAGGCUUUGGAAACUGUUUAACUUGAGUGCAGAAGGGGAGAGUGGAAUUCCAUGUGUAGCGGUGAAAUGCGUAGAUAUAUGGAGGAGCACCGGUGGCGAAAGCGGCUCUCUGGUCUGUAACUGACGCUGAGGCUCGAAAGCGUGGGGAGCGAACAGG